UGUUACUUGAACAAGCAAAUAGCACCAGCGAUCGUUCUCUUCAUGCAGCCUGGGAGCAGAAGAUGCAAGAUAUCCAGAAUACAAUCAAUUCUCUUGUCAGACCUUUUCCUGAUGAUUCAUCUUCACCUGCCCUUUCGACAAGUAUGUCCGGUUCAAGAAGCCAGAAAUUAACAAGAAGCAGGAGCUGUAGAGCUAAUUUUAUUGUGGGCUCAUUUCCACCCGAUUUUGAGACAGUUGAAGAUAGCGAGACCACCCCGCCUAAUGUGCUAGAGAAGGAUUUUCCUGGAAGACCUGAAAAUUUCCAGCGGAAGCAUUGGAAACUUCCUCUAUUGAUUUAUGGAGCAAACAGACCUAAAUUAUCCAGAAACAAUUCACAGUGGAAGACCUGAAAAUUUCCAGCGGAAGCACUGGAAACUUCCUCUAUUGAUUUAUGGAGCAAACAGACCUAAAUUAUCCAGAAACAAUUCACAGUCUUCAAUUGGUAGUGCUUUUGUAGAUGGGAGUAAUGCUCCUGGAGAUGAGGAUAUCCCAAGUGUUGACAAUUUUGUGGCAGGUUUGAAGGAGAUGGCUAAGCUUGAAUAUGAU
rnacentral:lncRNA from 1 species